CGGACGGGUGCGUAACGCGUAUGCAACCUGCCUGACACAGGGGGAUAAUCCGAAGAAAUUUGGUCUAAUACCCCAUAAUACCGAUAUAGGCAUCUAUGUUGGUUGAAAGCUUUGGUGGUGUCAGAUGGGCAUGCGUUGUAUUAGCUAGUUGGUGAGGUAACGGCUCACCAAGGCGACGAUACAUAGGGGGACUGAGAGGUUAACCCCCCACACUGGUACUGAGACACGGACCAGACUCCUACGGGGAGGCAGCAUG
rnacentral:rRNA from 1 species